CGCACUCCUUUUCCACGUCUGCGACAGAGAACGAGCAAACAAAAGGUUAACUAAUUCGUCGAUUUACUUGGUUCCUUUGGCCUGCUGUUGGUGGGGCGGAGAAAAACGACUCUGAAACGAAGCCACCAGGUCGACUGCGAGAAAGAGAGAGAGGAGAAAACCAACGACCCAGCUCGGACGCCAACACGCUGCAGGAUCCACGUAGUACUGCUUCCCAUCUCGCAAACUGGAGUUGCGAAUGCACCGCGACCAGGGCGUCAUAAAUAAAGCCGAGGGCUAUGGCAGCCUGCUGUCAUCCA